rnacentral:rRNA from 1 species
UACGGGGGGGGCAAGCGUUGUUCGGAAUUACUGGGCGUAAAGGGCUCGUAGGCGGCCAACUAAGUCAGACGUGAAAUCCCCAGGCUCAACCUGGGAACUGCGUCUGAUACUGGAUGGCUUGAAUCCGGGGAGAGGGAUGCGGAAUUCCAGGUGUAGCGGUGAAAUGCGUAGAUAUCUGGAGGAACACCGGUGGCGAAGGCGGCAUCCUGGACCGGCAUUGACGCUGAGGCGCGAAAGCCAGGGGAGCAAAGCGGG